GUAUCUUUAAGAGUAUGCACGUUUCGGCCUGCUCGAAACGUGCUUGAAAAGUAUAUUACACAUCCACACAGCAUUACCACGGGUCGGUGUCUCAGACCGAAUGGCCCUUAUGUGGUACGCGCUUCGGCGUUGGUUAGUUCGUUGGUUUGUCUGUUAGAAAAGAAGUGCGCAGAAAAUCACGGCUACUUACUGAGCAUCAACUCUCCUAAAUCCGAGCGACAAUUUAGUCUUUUUAUAUAAUUUUAGCGGAGACGAGAGAAAUAUAUUCUGUAGUCUCUGCGCUGAAAAGCCAUCAGAUCCGAACUGCCCGAUACCGAAUCGUUUGACCGCUGAAGACAAACUUUUCGGGGGUGUGAACUCUGUUAACGCAGUUUACACCACAAUUGUCCGUCUUCAGCAUAAAAUCCCGACGUUCCAAUAAUAAUUCAGUCAAACGUCCGGGAUUGAGAAUUGAGGCCCAUAAAUAUAUAA